AGUGGAUCUGCGGUCUCCUGGAAACCGAGAAGGAAAACAGUCAGUUCUGCUCUCUUCCCCGGGCGGGGAGUGAGCGUAAUGCGGGAGCCCGCAGGCCGGAGCACACAGGUGAGCAGCACACAGAGAGGCUUCAGACCAACAUAGAAAACUAGAGAGAUGUUAAUAAUCAUCGAAACUAAAGAUGAGGCCUCCGACUUAUUGCUGUAGCUGAAAGAGCUGCUUUGGGAGAGAAUGAUGACUUUUGCCCGGAGAUGAAAUGUAACGUUCCAGUCUCCAAUGAAAAGGAAAGAUGUGGGUGCAAACAUUUUUGUAAACUCUUGAGAAGUUCAUAAUUCUCCUGUUGCAGGUGUGAUACCCACCAGACACAGCAGCCUGAGAAUGCAUCUGAAGAUACUACUUCCACUUGAGCCGGCUGGAUAGGCCUUCACAGUUUACCCAGAACUUUAUCUUCAGGGGCGUAUUUGCAUCAUCACUGAGGUGCUCCGGUUGAAGGAGCCCUGUGGUAUUUCCUCUGACAGCAAGGAAUGUAGUGCAAGAAUGUGAUUCCCUCUGCUCCCAUAACACCAGGUGCAUGUUGCAACCAUAAGCUAAAGACCAACAAAUAUCUGUUACGUAGGCAAGCAGGUAUUUGAGGUCACUGGCCAGUUUUUAAGGAAUUCGUGCAAUCCAGAACUUACUAUUUUUGGUUCACGCAUAGUAAUAUGCAUUUCUUUUUUAUUCAUUCAUUCAUUCAUUCAUUCAUUUAAUAUGUUUUUUUUAUUGGAGUUCGAUUUGCCAACAUAUAGUGUAACACCCAGUGCUUGUAAUAAGCAUUUCAAGAAAAAUGUAUUGAAGGAGCACGAAGAAGGAUGGAUGCAUAUGAUCAAGUGACUGUGACCUGGUCUCCUCGUAAGGAAGUGGCAGCCCUCACUACAACCUGCUUCUGGCACUAGCCCAGUCAUCUCCAAACUGGAUCAUAGCCAUAAAUCAGAGUCCACUUCGCUGAAUGCGGGUAGUCUUUAGAAUAGUCUUCUUGCUAUUCAUCUGGCUGCCAAAACACAUAAAUCACAUACACUUAAAGAAUUUCCCCUCCAUUCUUGAAUGUAUGUCUCUUUUGGGGUUUGAGAGCUUAACAGCUUCAUACCAGCAGGUCAUUCAAAAUGAUCUAUUUGGGGCAACCUGGGUGGCUCGGCUUUUAGCACCGCCUACAGCCCAGGGCAUGAUCCUAGACACCUGGGAUCGAGUCCCACAUCAGGAUCCCUGCAUGGAACCUGCUUCUCCCUCCGCCUGUGUCUCUGCCUCUGUGUG